rnacentral:lncRNA from 1 species
UAUUUACUUUAUUUUAUUGAUUUCUCAUACUGUUUCUAGAGAGAUUCAUUAAUAUUUUUUAGCGCCACAAAUUUUGGCAUUAAAAGUUGGCAGCACUUCUUUUAGGGGAAGAUAGAAGAUACAACAUCCUAUUUCAUAUUCAUCCCUAUGAAAUGGAAGCAAGCCAUGAUAUGGACGUUCGUUAAAUCUCUUCGUUAAAAUAGGAAAUUUUGAGCAGUUUUGUAGAAUAACACUAUUGUGCAACAUUUUGCAAAAAGUUGUUUUUAUUUUAGUAAACGAAUGGGCUUGCAAUAACUUGUGAUAGCAACUUAAAAUAGGAUUACAACACAAUAUACCAUAAGUACAAGAAAGUAAAUAAAGAUGAGCAAUGCUAACAGAAUGUCUACUGGAGCUCUUCCAAAAUCUAAUCCAAUAACUGAAGACUAUGAAAUAUCUAGAACAGUCCUGGGAUUAGGAAUAAAUGGAAAAGUGGUUGAAUGUUACUCCAAGACAACAAA